UAAAACAUAUCCUGAUCAAAGACGACACACGAACAGAUAAACAAGGGCAAAGCUUUAUGUUUACAUAUUUAUUCAAAGUGCUAAGUGUUUCUUUAUUGUCUCUAUAGACGCUGUGUCUUUAACUUGUAGUUCAUCAUACCCAGGACUACAAUUCCCUUGAUGUCUAUCCACACAAUGUCACACACGUUUUCUGCAUUAAGGCUAAUCAAGGGACGCUGCAUUCACUUCCUGUUCUUGCCUUGAAGAAGGUGUCUGACCGAAAGCUUCUUAAUGCACAGAUUUAAUUGUGUUUAUAAUUAAGUUUGAAGCUCCAGCACAUCAGUAAAGUCCGAUAGUGGGCGAGCAGAGUUUUAUGUUAUAUUCCAAGGAUGGAUUUUUAUUAAUUUACCUUAAAUGUCAAAGGGGUUUUGAAUGAGUUGUUCUUACUUCUGUAACAAAACGUGGAAGUGGAGGUUUCCCUCCGGCUCUCUAUCCUGACUGACUACUGAAGCUGGACCCUUGGAGGUCCCUCACGCCACCGUGCCGGGUGCAGGGCCGCGUCGGAGUGUCCAGAUCUGAAACCCCAAAGUCCCUCUUUCCUGAGUUGAGCACAGCAACAACUUCACCUGUGUAGGGCUCUCGCUCCACAGCUUUCACAGCCUGGCUCUGCAGGACGUUACCUUGGUGCCGCUGUAGAAGUCGUCCGCCGUGGUCGCGUUCAUGAAGCUCUCCUCCAGGUGGACGCUGGUGUCGAUCCCCCCGGGGAGGACCAGUUUUCCCGAGGCGUCGAUCACUUUGGCUCCACCUGGGAUCAUCAUCUCCUUCCCCACCUGCUGGAUGAUGCCGUUCUCGAUGUAGACGUCGGCCUCCUGGGUGCAGUCGUCGUUCACCACCUUGCCGCCCUUUAUCAGGAUCCGCACCAUCGCUGAGCUGGAAGACAUGGCUAUAGCUCUGUCAGGAAGAGAGGAAGAAGACGUCUGUUAACCCUGUUUAGUCAGGCAGUGUGUGAUAGACUGACCACAUCUAAAACAAGAAAAAGAAAGGUUACAGCUACUGCGAGAACUUCCCGUACCUCAUCCUGAGACUGUAGUAAGUCUAGCAGAUACAAGGAUCAGUGAUGCUGCCCUGAGACUAGUCUGUCAGGCUGUGACUGACAUCAGCUACAAGACUGAUGGGCUGUGUCAGUCACCGCCUGUGACCUGGCGUCACAGUGGACAGUGACGUAGUGGCGAAUACAAAGAAGCUGAGUCCAGUUGUGGAUCACAAUAAGGCAGACAAGGGUCAAUCAGGCCUUUAUCUUGAAAGGACAAAAGCAGCAUAAAGCCACUUACGAUGAUGUUAGUGGCAGAAAAAUAUGAACUAAGAAAGUUGAGGUGCGUUCCUUUGCUACAUUCAUGAAAAUGAGCUCUAACCUGCCCCAGUGCUGCCCAACCUGGGGAUCACUACCCCUAAAAGAGGUCACGAGAUUAAUCUAAGGGGUCGUCAGACGAUUACAUGUUACCACUAUUUGACUCAAAGAUUUAAACUGGAUGACUUUUGGACCAGACGAAAUGAAUAAUGGAUUCAGUAACCGAAUUGUAUUCCUUGCAACAUAGAGAGCUGAAACGGCACUCUCACCAUCAUGUCGCUAAAUUACAUUUGCGGAAUUGAAUAAAUAAGUGUGUAUUUAAUUAUUGUUCGUUAUACAAUCCUGGUCUCAACUACAAAGGUUGCUCCGCUCUCUAGUCUUCUCUGAACGACACAAAAAUCACAGGACAAAUAAAGACAAAUUAUUUUCUUGACAUCACUUCUUGGGUAAACUGGGUGUGAUCACUGUUAUUACCUAACCAUCAAUAACAAAGCAAUAAUCUCCAAGAUCUACCUCCUCCCUUCCCUUUAGCACUACUGUAUUAGUGAUGUGUGUGUGUGUGUGUGUGUGUGUGUGUGUGUGUGUGUGUGUGUGUGUGUGUGUGUGUGUGUGUGUGUGUGUGUGUGUGUGUGUGUGUGUGUGUGUGUGUGUGCACCCUGCGUGCUUGCGUGCUCGCAGAAUGCGUACGUAUGAGGGUGCGGCAACUUUACUGCAUGGCAUGGAGUCCUUCACACAUCCAGACCUGAUGGAUGAUAAUGUAGGAUGGGCAUUAACUCGUGCCCUAUUUCCCGUGUUCCCCCAAAAGCCUGGACGCAGCGUCAGGCUUUAAUAAAGUUAUUUUGAAUAUUG